CUUUAAUCAAACAUAUCAACGAAUCCAUGAGAAACAACAAACUUAUAAAAUCAUCCAUCAAAAUAUUUUUUCGUGCUUGACACAUGAGUCAACCGUUUUUACAUGACCGUUGUUACAUCGUUCAAAAUUAUGAUACUCUUACACAAUCCGCAGUAAUCAAUAUCACAAAAAGUAAGUUAAAAAAGUAAUGUAAAAUUACACAUUAAGAGAAAACAGAAUGUUCUUCCAUGCGAAGCCCUAACACGUAUCUCCCUGGACAAAGUAAUGUAGUCUUCAUUGUACCUUCGUAACAAUUAUCUUCCUUUGAAAAUGCAAUUGUUUACUUCUACAUACCAGACACGGGUGUCCAUGUAAGCAACAAUACGCCUCAUGCUAACGAAAAAUGAAUCAAUCAAGCAUAAUGUAGCCCAUAUAAAUGGCAAAUCUCUAUUUAUAGGGGAACUACAACGCAUAGUGAAACAAAUGUGUAACAUAAAAUGCGAAUCAUAGUAUUUUAUACAUGUUACAAUGACAAAUAAAAAAAGUCGUGAUAUCAUAAUAUUCAUAGAUGUUAAUGCAAAAUAUACGUACAGUGUUCGGAUAAGGUGAGAUGGACACGUGGAACAGUUAUGCGCUGAGGAAAGGAACCUUCGUUCCUACAGUUCAUCUAUUAAAAGCUCAUUUGUUGAGAAUUACUGAAGCUAAUUAUCGGGAACGAUAGUUUAGGGACUACUAAAGUGAACUGUCGACAGAUGAUUUGUAAAGAAAUCUACUUUUAAAAGCUAUGGAGCAAUUUAUACUACCAAAUUAAUCGAGGAAAGUUUGAAAGCCAUAAGACUAACAACAUCAAAGCCUACAUCUUCCAAAAGUCAAUCAAAAGUCAACUACUAAGUAAUAUAGAAUUAAAUCUUGAAGGUUCCUUCAUAGAGGAAUAGAUAUUCAGGAACACUGAAUGGAUACCAUAACAAAAUUCAUACAGACCAAUUGUAACUAGCAAAUUGGCAAAAUUUAGAGUUUUUCCAGCCAGAUGGAAUCCAAAGUCACCGAAAAUCCCAACCCAUAACAAGCAGAGAACUACGACAACCAAAGUAACUAAAAAUUUGCUAAGCUUGUGCUACAGAUUCAUAAAGGUAAGAAAACAAAAUGUACAAGAAAAAUUGGAUGUGAAUCAUCGUCUUAUAUGAAAAUGACAUUUAGUGGCACCAAUCAAUUUCAUAAAAACCACACAAAAAAAAUUCCAAAUUUUGAUUAUUCAAACCCACAACACUACUCCCUUGAACCUACAUACUAAAAAGAAUAACAAAACUUACAUAGAAGGAAAAUGAAUAGUUGAAGCCAUGAAAACUCUGUGAGGUCUAAUACGAGCAUCAGAGAAGGACGGAAUUUUGUGGGGCGUAAAGUAAAGUUUCUGUGCUAUUUCUUCCCAAAUUGUUGAAUGAAAAUUACUUAUUGAAAAUUUGGUGCAAAGAGCCAUUAUACAAAGCACGUACACAAUGUAUGGAAAAAGAAAAUCCAUACAUUUCAACCUUUAGGCUUCACAUUACUUACUGCUUCGACGAAUUAUGUCGUCGUCGGUUAAUGCCGGAAACGAAAAUAUCGGUGGCGCCUGAAAAAAUUUUGAAAUUUUCACCGCUCGAUUUGCGAUAGGGACGAAGGACGAAACAAUCAGUGGUUAACAUCCAAUGAAGGUGGAGGCGACCAUUUUGCUUGUGGUUACUAUGUCGUUGGGUAGUCGACGUUAGCUAGGUGGAAUCAAUGGAGGCGAUUUUAAGGUUUCGGAUUGGAAUUUCAUUCUGGCCAGUUAGUUACGAAUUGGGGAAAUGAAUGAAUGAUAGGCCAUUUCUUGUUUUAAAUAAUGGGUCAUUUCAUCUCUUUUUUUCCCAAAAUUUCAUCCUAACAUUGACAAGAUUCUUGUACAAUUUCUUCCAUUGGAUCAAGUCAUUUAAUGAGGACAUGGAGUGUGUUUGAAAUUAUUUUGAGGGUCAAAUAUGUCUAAAAUUGACAUUCUUACAAUGCCAAAAAAAAGUGACAUUUUUGUAAAUGUCUUGGGAAAAUUUGACAACCACUGCAAUUUCCUCAAAAUAGAAAAUAGAAAAUCUUUUAAAGAUGCUCAAAGAGUAUAAUAACUUGAGAAAUACUUUCAUUGAAGUUAAAAUUUUAAAAUUGAACCCACCUUGGGACUUGUGUGGUAUCAGAGUCAACAAGCUCAAAGAACAAUUUUCGAUCCGUCUAGAGUUCAAAUGAGCAAUCGGAUUUUG
rnacentral:lncRNA from 1 species